rnacentral:rRNA from 1 species
GAUUAACGCUGGCGGCAUGCCUAAUACAUGCAAGUCGAAUGGUAGCAAUACCAUGGCGAACGGGUGAGUAACACGUAGGUAACCUGCCCUUAAGACGAGGAUAACCGUUGGAAACGACGGAUAAUACUGGAUAGGACAACAAAAAUCGCAUGAUUAGUUGUUUAAAGAUUUAUCACUUAAGGAGGGGCCUGCGGCGCAUUAGCUAGUUGGUGAGGUAACGGCCCACCAAGGCGAUGAUGCGUAGCCGGACUGAGAGGUUGAACGGCCACAAUGGAACUGAGAACGGUCCAU